rnacentral:rRNA from 1 species
UAAGGAAUAUUGGACAAUGGGCGAAAGCCUGAUCCAGCCAUGCCGCGUGCAGGAUGAAGGCGCUCUGCGUCGUAAACUGCUUUUGUUAGGGAAGAAAAAGCUCCAUUUAUGGGGAACUGACGGUACCUGACGAAUAAGCACCGGCUAACUCCGUGCCAGCAGCCGCGGUAAUACGGAGGGUGCAAGCGUUAUCCGGAAUCACUGGGUUUAAAGGGUGCGUAGGCGGAUUUUCAAGUCAGAGGUGAAAGCUUCCCGCUCAACGGGAAAAUGGCCUUUGAUACUGUUAAUCUUGAGUACAGUUGAGGUGGGCGGAAUGUGUGGUGUAGCGGUGAAAUGCUUAGAUAUCACACAGAACACCGAUUGCGAAGGCAGCUCACUAAACUGUUACUGACGCUGAGGCACGAAAGCGUGGGGAGCAAACAGG